ensembl:lncRNA
GGGUAAAGUCCGGCCGUGCCGGGGAGAGGAGAGGAGAGGAGAGGAGAGGCUGGCUUCCUUAUGGCACCCAAAGGUGCAAGGAGGUGCCUUAUGGGGCCCUAUGGUGCCCUAUGGGGCCCUAUGGCACCCUAUGGAUCCUUAUGGCUCCCUAUGGCACCCUAUGGCACCCUGUGGAUCCUUAUGGCUUCCUACGGGUCCCUAUGGAUCCUUAUGGCGCCCUAUGGAUCCUUAUGGCUCCCAAUGGGUUGCUAUGGAUCCUUAUGGCACCCAAAGGUGGAAGGAGGUGCCUUAUGGGGCCCUAUGGCACCCUAUGGGGCCCUAUGGCACCCUAUGGAUAUGUAUGGAUCCUUAUGGCACCCAAAGGUGCAAGGAGGCGGCUUAUGGGGCCCUAUGGUGCCUUAUGGGGCCCUAUGGGGCCCUAUGGGGCCCUAUGGAUCCUUAUGGCACCCAAAGGUGGAAUGAGGCGCCUUAUGGGGCCCUAUGGGAUCCUAUGGAUCCUUAUGGCACCCAAAGGUGCAAGGAGGCGCCUUAUGGGGCCCUAUGGGAUCCUAUGGAUCCUUAUGGCGCCCAAAGGUGGAAGGAGGUGGCUUAUGGGGCCCUAUGGUGCCCUAUGGGGCCCUCUGGCACCCUAUGGAUCCUUAUGGCUCCCUAUGGCACCCUAUGGCACCCUAUGGAUCCUUAUGGCUCCCUAUGGGUCCCUACGGAUCCUUAUGGCACCCUAUGGGUCGCUAUGGAUC